UGGGGAAUAUUGCACAAUGGGGGAAACCCUGAUGCAGCGACGCCGCGUGAGCGAAGAAGGUUUUCGAAUCGUAAAGCUCUGUCCUAUGAGAAGAUAAUGACGGUAUCAUAGGAGGAAGCCCCGGCUAAAUACGUGCCAGCAGCCGCGGUAAUACGUAUGGGGCGAGCGUUGUCCGGAAUUAUUGGGCGUAAAGGGUACGUAGGCGGUCUAUUAAGUCAGGUGUGAAAGCGUGAGGCUUAACCUCAUUAAGCACUUGAAACUGAUAGACUUGAGUGAAGGAGAGGAAAGUGGAAUUCCUAGUGUAGCGGUGAAAUGCGUAGAUAUUAGGAGGAAUACCGGUGGGGAAGGCGACUUUCUGGACUUUUACUGACGCUCAGGUACGAAAGCGUGGGGAGCAAACAGG
rnacentral:rRNA from 1 species